UAACCACGGGCAACACCCCACUAGUAAACUAAUAAAACACGGAUCGGCUAACUUAUUUUCUCCCAAACGUUUCGUCUUCCUUCAUUGCCAGUCGUACCGCAUCCAUUUUUUACCAAACCGUUUCUUCUUCAUCACGGCUUUUGGUCAUUUCGCUUCAGUUCCGUGCAGACUCAACCACAAAGUGGAAGAGAAGCAUUUUCCAGUUGUUGGAGCAAAUUCAAAGAUCAACCACUCUUAUCAUUAGUUGAUUUAAAGGGUGGACUUUUCUACCUGAGGGAGAAAGGAGUAAUUUGGAAUUAUGAAUGCAGAAGAAAGUACAAAAUGAAGAGAUCCAAAGCAAUGGAGACUGAUUAUUAGUCUUGAGGCGAGGCGCGUGAUCAAUACGUUAGAUAUCCAAGAAGCCUGUGAUUUAUCAUGGAAUUCUGAUAUUUCUUAUUGUUUCCUCAGUUGAAAUGUGAAUGGACAGGUUGUAUUUAAUGAGCUAUACAAGGUAUAGGACUGUGGGAAGCCUUCUUUUACAUGCACCACAUAAAAGGAAAAACCAGCUACAUCGUGUUUGUUGACUUGCAAAGCUUAUAGCAAUCAAAAGUGAGGAAGAUACCAAUGGAAUUGAAGGCAACAACUCAUGAAAUAAUUUAGGGGUUCGUGACUAAUUGCUUUGACGAUUAAUACCAACUCAUGAAAUUUUUAUGUGGGGUAAAUUUAUAAAGUUACUAUCUCUCAAUUAAUUAAUAUGUCACACCGCGCGAA